rnacentral:rRNA from 1 species
GCUUGUCUCAAAGAUUAAGCCAUGCAUGUCUAAGUAUAAACGAUUUUGUACUGUGAAACUGCGAAUGGCUCAUUAAAUCAGUUAUAGUUUAUUUGAUAAUACCUUACUACUUGGAUAACCGUGGUAAUUCUAGAGCUAAUACAUGCUACACAACCCGACUUCAGGAAGGGUGGUACUGAUUAGAUACAAAACCAACCCGGGCAACCGGUUUACUGGUGAUUCAUAAUCAUUUCUCGAAUCGUAUGACUUUAUGUCGACGAUGGUUCAUUCAAAUUUCUGCCCUAUCAGCUUUCGACGGUAGUGUAGUGGACUACCGUGGCGCUAACGGGUGACGGAGAAUUAGGGUUCGGUUCCGGAGAGGGAGCCUGAGAAACGGCUACCACAUCCAAGGAAGGCAGCAGG